AAACCGUUCAGGGGUAAACCUGUGAAACCUAAAAGAUCGAAUGAGGAGAUUCAUCGUCAGCAUAUUCAGUAUUAAUGCAAGCUAUGAUGUGAUAAUAGAAUCCUUGUGGUCACUAGAUUAUACUUGCUUGUGUUAUUUUGUUGGGUAUUGUCGGCGUGCACUUCUCCUCUAGUAGAACGUCGCGACCCGUUGAAUGUUUAUCUAUGGCCUGAUUGGUAGCCUUUGAUAUAUUAUUGUAUUGAAGACCAGCAGUGUCCUGAUAAACUGUUUGACGGUAUUCAUAUGGUAUUGAGCCGCAAUUAUUUGCGUUAGACUUACCGCAAGCAAGRUUUUUUUUCUGGCAGUGCAGAUUUAUGCUGUCGCUGGAUAAAAUCUUCUGUUAGCAGUGUAAUGUUCUUUAACUGGCUUAUUUACCGGUCAGCGAUGCUACUGCUUUGGGUACUUACAGGACCCGUCUUGAAACACGGACCAAGGAGUCUAACAUGUGCGCAAGUCAUUAGGAUAUAUUUAUAUAAAUCAAACCUAAAGGCGUAAUGAAAGUAUAGCUUGUCUUAAGACAAUUGAGGGAAGAUGGGUUACGUUACAAUGUAAUUCCGCACUCCCAGGACGUUCUAUUCUCAUUGAGAAGGGGCGUACCUAGAGCGUACACGUU
rnacentral:rRNA from 1 species